rnacentral:rRNA from 1 species
GGUGAGUAAUGCCUGGGAAUAUGCCUUAGUGUGGGGGAUAACUAUUGGAAACGAUAGCUAAUACCGCAUAACGUCUUCGGACCAAAGAGGGGGACCUUCGGGCCUCUCGCGCUAAGAUUAGCCCAGGUGGGAUUAGCUAGUUGGUGAGGUAAAGGCUCACCAAGGCAACGAUCCCUAGCUGGUCUGAGAGGAUGAUCAGCCACACUGGAACUGAGACACGGUCCAGACUCCUACGGGAGGCAGCAGUGGGGAAUAUUGCACAAUGGGGGAAACCCUGAUGCAGCCAUGCCGCGUGUAUGAAGAAGGCCUUCGGGUUGUAAAGUACUUUCAGUCGUGAGGAAGAUUAUACAGUUAAUAGCUGUGUGAUUUGACGUUAGCGACAGAAGAAGCACCGGCUAACUCCGUGCCAGCAGCCGCGGUAAUACGGAGGGUGCGAGCGUUAAUCGGAAUUACUGGGCGUAAAGCGCAUGCAGGCGGUCUGUUAAGCAAGAUGUGAAAGCCCGGGGCUCAACCUCGGAACCGCAUUUUGAACUGGCAGACUAGAGUCUUGUAGAGGGGGGUAGAAUUUCAGGUGUAGCGGUGAAAUGCGUAGAGAUCUGAAGGAAU